CACGACGCGUUCACUCGCACACGGAGGAGGCACCGGAGCGCAAAGCCGAGCAGUUAAUCGGGCAGUGUUCAGUGUUGUGUUCACCGUUCACCGUUCACCGUUCAACGUUCAACUUCAUUCUUCGCUCCUCGCCCUUCGCCAGCUACCUCCUCGUUCGCCAUGACGACGACGACGACGACACGACGAUGCGGUCGCGUCGGUCUCCUUGUUCUCUUUAUGGAGCAACGUUUCUCGAAGACGUGAUAUAUUCCUCAACCCAUCUGACGGAUUAUACUCACAUUUUCGUGGAUCUUAUGGCUUUUCCAACGGAAUAACUUAUCCAUUUGGUGAGCUUGAAUGGCUCCGGAAGUAGCAAAAAUCAAUGGUUUUUCAACAACUUUCUUGUCAGGUCAUCUCGUAACGUCUUAUUCUCGGUGAUCUUUGAUUCUCGACGAGAGCUGCCAUCUCACAACCGAAUUAACAGAAACGUGUACUGCUGAUACGGUAUUUAAGCCAAACUGGAGGCCUUCUCAGCUCAACGGAAGGCAAUUAUUUUUACAAGCACCGAAAUAUCUCUGGACAACACUGCCAACCCCGGUAUGUCAUAUUACUGUUCAUGGUUCAGUAGAUGUAUUUCGGACUCGCACCCACCACUGUCGAAGUAGCUGGACCAAACCGAGACCUGCAGGACACGGCUUUGCCUCGAAAUUAACUAGCUUUCCCUUAUCCCUUAUAUACCGGUCCGACUCCGCGCACAAGACGGACUUCCGGUAGGGACGACUUACUCGACUGUCGGAGGCGACGAGACUAGCUUAGGCGAGAAUCGAGGAUGCAGCGUGGAGCCAGCACACGCAAACGCAAACGCACCCGCCUACGCACACACCAAGGUACUCUACCCCGCCGGUCCGAAGCGGACAGAGCGCAUGUGCCGCUAUCGAUUCCCUUUGCUCCUGGAGGAUGAGAACGGGAACUCUCGUCCGCGUGCUAUACGCCGAUGCCCGGACGUUCUUGCUGUAGGAAGCGAAGGAUUAUCAUCGUCAACCGGGUCAACCCUUGCUAAAGUUACGGGCGUCGAAAAUCCAGACUCUCGUAACAUUUUCAGUAGGUUAACCUGUUCACUUCGAAAUGAAAGUAUCAACUCAAAAUACCUUUAUCUGAGUAAAUAAA